GACGAACGCUGGCGGCGUGCUUAACACAUGCAAGUCGAACGGUAAGGCUCCAGCUUGCUGGGGUACACGAGUGGCGAACGGGUGAGUAACACGUGGGUGACCUGCCCUGCACUUCGGGAUAAGCCUGGGAAACUGGGUCUAAUACCGGAUAGGACCGCACCGUGAGGGUGUGGUGGAAAGUUUUUUCGGUGUGGGAUGGGCCCGCGGCCUAUCAGCUUGUUGGUGGGGUAAUGGCCUACCAAGGCGGCGACGGGUAGCCGGCCUGAGAGGGUGGACGGCCACAUUGGGACUGAGACACGGCCCAGACUCCUACGGGAGGCAGCAGUGGGGAAUAUUGCACAAUGGGCGGAAGCCUGAUGCAGCGACGCCGCGUGGGGGAUGACAGCCUUCGGGUUGUAAACUCCUUUCACCAUCGACGAAGGGUUUCUGACGGUAGAUGGAGAAGAAGCACCGGCUAACUACGUGCCAGCAGCCGCGGUAAUACGUAGGGUGCGAGCGUUGUCCGGAAUUACUGGGCGUAAAGAGCUCGUAGUUGGUUUGUCGCGUCGUCUGUGAAAUUCCGGGGCUUAACUCCGGGCGUGCAGGCGAUACGGGCAUAACUUGAGUACUGUAGGGGAGACUGGAAUUCCUGGUGUAGCGGUGAAAUGCGCAGAUAUCAGGAGGAAACACCGGUGGGCGAAAGCGGGUCUCUGGGCAGUAACUGACGCUGAGGAGCGAAAGCAUGGGGAGCGAACAGGAUUAGAUACCCUGGUAGUCCAUGCCGUAAACGGUGGGCGCUAGGUGUGGGUUUCCUUCCACGGGAUCCGUGCCGUAGCUAACGCAUUAAGCGCCCCGCCUGGGGAGUACGGCCGCAAGGCUAAAACUCAAAGGAAUUGACGGGGGCCCGCACAAGCGGCGGAGCAUGUGGAUUAAUUCGAUGCAACGCGAAGAACCUUACCUGGGCUUGACAUAUACAGGAUCGCGCCAGAGAUGGUGUUUCCCUUGUGGCUUGUAUACAGGUGGUGCAUGGUUGUCGUCAGCUCGUGUCGUGAGAUGUUGGGUUAAGUCCCGCAACGAGCGCAACCCUUGUCUUAUGUUGCCAGCACGUUGUGGUGGGGACUCGUAAGAAACUGCCGGGGUUAACUCGGAGGAAGGUGGGGAUGACGUCAAAUCAUCAUGCCCCUUAUGUCCAGGGCUUCACACAUGCUACAAUGGUCGGUACAGUGGGUUGCCAGUCCGUGAGGGCGAGCUAAUCCCGCAAAGCCGGUCUCAGUUCGGAUCGGGGUCUGCAACUCGACCCCGUGAAGUCGGAGUCGCUAGUAAUCGCAGAUCAGCAACGCUGCGGUGAAUACGUUCCCGGGCCU
rnacentral:rRNA from 1 species